rnacentral:lncRNA from 1 species
UUUUUGUUCAUUCAGUCCCCUCGAUCGUUCAUCUGAUCUCACUCAAUUCCCUUUCUCAUCGAUCUCUUUUGAUUUUAAUAUUAAUCUACGAAAUCAGAGCAUUAAGCGUCGAUCCCUUUUGAGUUUAAUUGUCAUGGGUUUGUCAAGAAACGUUGAUUUUAAAAUUAAUCUUAGAAAUCAGAGCAUGAAGCGUCGAUCCCUUUUGCGUUCAAUGGUCAUGGGUUUGUCAAGAAACAGGAGGAGCAGGGAAUAUGCUGAAUCCAUGAAAUCCAAGUUGCCAUCGGAUAUCAAAAAGAAGAGAAAACUUGAAGAAGAGGAGCAUGCGGCUUUUACUUGUUCCAAGAAACCUCCUGCUACAGUUUCUAAAAAUGAAGAAUUCAAGUGUUCUGAUGUUGAUGCUACACGUAACCAAUUUCGUGAGCGUCUUGUAGAGGGAUUGUCUAAAGUUUAUGAAGAGAAUAAUGAAGAGAUGAUGAAGGAGCAAUUAAGAGCUUGUGACCCAGUUGGAGUUGCUGCAUCAGUAGAAUCAGCGCUGUUUAAAACGUUGGGUCCUAUCAGUGGGUCAAACAAACCCCAGUAUAGAACCAUCUUGUUCAGUGUUAGGAAUUCAAGAAAUCCUGACUUUAGAAGAAAGAUUCUUCUUGGAGAAGUGAAGCCUGAGAGCCUUCCUACCAUGACCGAUGAAGAGAUGGCUAGCGAUAAAUUACAAGAGAAGAUUCGCGAGAUUAGGGAGAGAGUUUUAGCCAAGAUUCCGGACUCAGUUGAUGAUGAUGAUGAUCCCUAUGAGAGAUUAAAAGCUGAUGAUCAUUGGCUCUUUUAUAGGUCGUAUAUAGGUUAAUUAAUAUGAUGCUUUUAAUUAAGCUACUACUUUUGAGUUAUUGGGUUUUCAUAUUCAUUUUGUUCAAUUGUACUUUGACUUUGAGUUAUUUGGUUUUCAUAUUCAUUUUGUUCAAUUGGACUUUGACAUGGUAUUUUAAUUCUCUGAUCACUUCCUUUAUCACAUGACAACAAAUAUGUUUAUGCUGCGUUUAUUUUUUGGAUUGAAGUGAGAAUCUUGAGGAGUGGGAAUCUUUGGAUUAGGAGUGUGAAGUGGGAGUGUGAGUAGGGUGUUUACUUAAAUUAAAUGAAAGUAUGGAUUGUCAAUCAAAAUCCUAAUUAUUUAUUUAUUUUAUCUUAGAUUGUGAGUAAAUUAUUUUAAAUUAUAAUUUUAUCCUUAUGUACAGAAUUAUAAUUUGUAAUUAAAAAAUUAAUUAAAAAAUAUAUUUAGAAAAUAAAAUAAAUAUUUUAUUAUAUUUAUAAAUUAAUAAUAAUUACUAAUAUUCUUAAUUAUGUAAAUCAUAAUUUUUUUAUUAAUUUAAAUUUAAAUUAUGUGAAUAAAAAUUAUUAAUAAUAGCAACACAAAUGAAAUAUUAUUAUUGAUAAUAUAGUACAAAAUUAAAAUUUUUUUAGAAUAAAAUAUUUAUUAUUAUUAAUUAAAUAAAUAAUUAAUAUUUAUUAAAAUUAAUGUUUAAUAUUAUUAAUUUAAAUAUAAUAUUUAUUUAUUUUUAUUUUAUUAAAUUUAAUAAAAUAAAUAUGAUAUAAUUAUUAUUUUUAAUAAAUAUGAUAUUAUUUAUUUUAUUAAAUAUUAUUUAUUUAUUUUAAUUUUAAUUAUAAGGAUAAAAUGGGAAGAGGAGGGAGUGGAUUCUCACUCCCACCUCCCCCCAUGGGAGUGAGAAUCCUACUCCCCACUCCAAAAUUAGGUGAGACCCACGGAUUCCCACUCCCACUCCCCUUUUUUUUAAGGUAAAUAAACACUGGAGUGGGAGAAAUCCACACUCCACACUCUCACUCCAAAAAGUAAACGCUGCCUUAAUCUCUCUUCAUUCUUUCAUCAUAUACAUGGCAACGUCGCAACUUCCAUCUAUAUAUUUGACAUCAUUAAACGGGUAACAACGCAAUCGUGUAGGAACCUAUAUUUGUCUUUAUAUAAUUGAAACAGGCGCAAAAUUGUCAUUUAUGGAAAAAAAGAAAAAAAAAAAUAACAGACAAUAACUAUCAAAGUCAUUUCAGCAUUCACAGUUCAAAUAGGAUAUCUUUUAUCCUUCGUUAUGGGGUGAUGCAGGCCUGUAUGUUGGACUUGAUCAUGCCAUCAUGAUAAGCAGUACCAGAGAGUGGAGAUCGAGUGGGUGUCAUCCCUAAAUCCAGAACUUCCAUAUAACUUGGAAGCUGAAGUUCGAUGGUAUUCUUUGGCAUCUCAUCAUUGACAUACAAAGGACAGUAUCCAGUUCCAAUAGGUGCGAGCUGACCUAACACAAUAUUCUCAGUGACCCCCGCAAAUAAUCUGUUUCAGCAUAAGCUGCAGCAUCAAGAAGAAUGUCAACAGUUUCUUCAAAUGAACAUCUCAUCAAGGGUCCAGUAUCAAUCCUGUUGAUGCCAUGACGAGUGAUGGCCAUCAAGUGGCCUAGAUAGGUCAUGGUAUCACAAAGGAUAGCCAGAUGCCGAUAAUUCACAUAAGAGCCAUCAAAAGAUAUGACUGCUCGCAAUUCAUGCAGCAGCACCCUACGAACUGCCUCAAUCUCCAGCACUUCAAUCAUUUCAACCAAGUGAUUGCUUGUUGUCCUUCUCGCAUCAACUUCUUCAUGACACAUAACAGCUAAAAGAUUCACACCUUCAGCGUCCAGCAUAAAUUCCUUUUCCGACUUAAAUCGUUCAUUAUCAUCGUACUUGGUUGAUUUAACCUUUUUAAUGAACACCUUGUUGAUAUGGGGGAUACCUUGGAGAGCCAUUUCCAGCAGCAUGUUAUUCUCAAUCUUUUCCAAGAAAACAUCAUCUUCAGCUGAUUCAUCAUUCAGUCCUCCUAUUGGAGCUUCAUUAUUCAUGAUACGAGUACGAAGGACGGGUAUACUGAGGAUUCAAUCCCAGGAGUUGGCAGUCCUCAUCAGUUAUUCUUGCCAGAACUUCAAGUACCUGAAAUAUGGUUAACAAAGUUAGCAUCAUGAAACAAGCAGGUGAAAAUGAAACCACGAAUGUGUUGCCUUCAGAAUAAGUUACCCUUUCUGCAGUAAGUGUCUGCUUUCUUUCAACAGGUUCAGGAAGUUGUCCUUGAUCAUCAUUCUUUUUUCUUUGAGCCUUGUACUCUGCAAUCAUAUUCAUGCCGUCAAUUGUCAGCGUUGGUUGCAGAGCACCACAGCCACUCUUUCUCUUUCUAAGAGGUUCUUCACCAUCAUGACCAAGGAGACUGAGGACAUCAAUCUCAUCAUCGCCUUCCCAUUUGUUUUUGGUUUUACAUGCACACAAAAUCUGUUCAAGCCUGCUCUUGGGGUUCCUUAUUUUCAAAGCUAGCUUAAACUUGUCAUCUUCCUGCUUGAAAAAUAAGCAAUCACGCAUGAAGCAGACAAUAAUCUACUAGAAAUUUUAAGGAUGGACGAACAAUCAAACUAUGAAAGAAACAACUUCAUCUCAUCUACACUAUUGGGAACCAAAUAGAACAAGAAAGGGAGGAUAAAAAAAAAACAGUUCAGAUAACCAAGUACCAUGGAAAGCCUACUUCAAAAUGCAUAUAAAAAACCUACAAGGCAUCUAUCAUGAAAGCAGAAUUCGUAUCCAAAUCCUAUUUCUCAAUGGGAAAAUGGAGAUAAACAAAAUUGACUACAUCUAUACUUUAUAAAAUACAUGACAUUAACAAUACAUGCACGAAUAACCAAUGAUUCCCUGAUGCUAGUAAAGAAUACAAUUUACAACUUAUAGCCGUAUCAGGUUAGUACUCUUUCAAAAUUUCUUUUCAUUUUUUUUUCCUCCUUCAUCAGCAACCAACCAGACUACCAAUAAAUUACAAGAGAGAAACGCUAAGGCCAAAGGAAAAUUACAAUUUCGUCAGGGCUGAGAAUGCUGAACUGGACCAACCGGACCUUGGCGACCUCGCCUGGAGAGUACGUAAAGCUAUUUUCCAUGGCGAGCUCUCCAAGCUUUGAGUAGCAGCAGAGUGGCAAGCUUGAAGUGUCAGCUAGAAAUGCAGGGCAAAACAGCGUAAUAAGACCAAAUUACCCUUUGGAGUUGCUCGGCUGUCAAGACUGAACACUAAUCGGCCCAACUACCGCAAUAACAACAGUAACUGACUAUUGUGCGUGUAUAUGUGGCAACGGCUGAGUUGCAAUAUCCGUAACUUACAGCCAGCCAAUAUGAAUCGUUAGAUUUGAGGGUCUGAAAUCGAAUGGACGGGAAAUAACAUACGAAACUUAUAAAUGGGUCAAAGAAUUUUUCAGCAAUUAGUGGGCAUACCGGGAACAAUGGUUUGAAAUAUAAAAGCGAGUGAUCGGUUCUGAGUAAUAUGAUUGAAGGGCAAAAAAAUAAUUAAUUAAUUAAAAUAAUUGUGAAUCAAUCACUCACAAAUAGGGGUGGGAAUAAAACAAUAACUAUAAUAUAAUAAAAUGAUUGAUUAAAUUAUAUUUAACCGAUUACAAGCUAAUUAAAUUUUUUUAGAAGUGAAAUUUAACCGGUUCUAAAUAUAUUUAAAAAAAAAAAGAUUUGUCUUUUAAUAAAAGAAAAAAUUAUAAAAAGAAAACAAAAAGUAAUAGAGACUAGCUGGAGUGCGAUUUGGGUGGGCGAUUCAAGAGGCUGAGUUUGAAUUGUACUUGCCUCUGCCACUUUUAGAUUCUUCUUUUGCGUAAUCACAAUAUGACCUUAUUGAGUAACUGAGCACGAUGGCAAGAAUCUUCUUUCUAGAUACAAGAUGCAAUUCGGCGUCGGCGAUUGGAGAGGGUAAGAGUUUUGAAUGCUAUUCGGACCGCUUUUGAUAAUUUAGAAAACCAGCUUGAGGUUUUGCAUGUAAGACUUUUUUUAGCUUUUCUUUUUGGUUUUUGUAAGUUUUAGAUCAUGUGCGUCUCUUUUGGUUGUGAUUUGUUUUGUUCCGAGAAAAUUGAGGGUGAAAGAUGAAAACUUUCAGUUUUAGCACAAGUAACCUGGCUAAUUGUAUUGGUUAUCGAAGUACCAGAUUGGUCAUCGAAUUAUUGCGAGCGAGUUUUUGCAUGUAGAUGAUUUAAUCAAAUUGUUAUCUGAUAAACAGAUGAUUGCUCACAGCAGGUUCCCUCUCCUUUAAAUUAGUUUAGGCAAAGUAAGUCAUCAUCAUUUGGAAGUUUGCAAUAGACUGUAAAAUGAGCCAGUCUUUGUUUAAUGAAAUAUUUAAUAUCAUAAAAUUUGCUUAGAUGAAAAAAUUAGAGGGGAUAUUAUUGAUUUGCUAAAUUAAUUUAAUGACAUAAUUUCGGUAAAAUUCAAAGUUCAAACUCAGUCAUUUAUAAUUGUUUGUCUUGCUAUUCAUUUUCUUUAAUUCCUCUGUUCUUCAUUUGAGUUUCAUCCGCUACAGCACCUCAUUAGGUUGCUGAACAAGAUGAAUAUUUAGAUAACUAUGCAUGACAGGAUCAAAGAAUAACAAUUAAUAAAACUUCAUUUCUCAGCUAAAUGGCAACAAUAAGAUUGUUCAUUGGUUUAUCGAUUAACUACGAGGAAUCAACAUGAAAUAUUCGGCUUAUGUUCAAUUUUCCACUAAUGCCUAUGCAAACUAAAUUUAUGCAUGUAAUUAAAAAUUAUGACAGCACUAUAUCGAGAUUAAUCUAAUCAAGAAAUUAAUUACCUAUUAUUUUGUUUUUCUUUUUAAUUUUUCUAAGAAAUCUCAUUAUUCUAAACAAGUUUAAUUUGAAAUAGUAGGACAAAGAAGUGCCUCACGAGAAUUAAGAGCAUCGAUGUUCAAGUUGUCGUGAACGGGGGUCAGUUAAUUUCAUCAAAAUGACGAAGACGUCGAUUGUCACGAUCACUACUAUCAGGUAACCCUAACUUCAGGUUCAGAUCAAUUUUGUUAUCAGCAUCUUGGAGAUCAUAGCCGUUCAUGUUUGUUGCUGCUGCUUGAUUGAACCACCGAGAAUCCAUGGUAGGCGAAAUGAUCAAUUUCUAUGUCUACCGUCAACCAAAAACAACUUGGAAAAUCAGUUUAAAUAUUGAGAGAAGAAGAUCGAUAGGUUAAUAGCUAGCAAACGGAAGAGAAUGAGAGAGAAAUGAAGUUAAUUAAUGAUUUGGUCAUGCAUGAAAUGUAGGAAACUGGUCAAGCACUCAAUAGAUAAAACAAAACGACCUAUAAGACUGAAAUAUAUAUUACAAAUGGACGCACUUGUUAUGUGAUAAGAUUACAAAAAUCAUCAUUAGAUGAGAAAAUUUAGACAGAUAUUAUAAUAAUAUUCUUAAUUCAUAUAUCAAUUAUCUAAGUUCAAUUUCCAUUGAGAUGUAUGAUCUAACUAUAGAUCUGAUUAAUUUGGACAUGAAUGACCAGCAAUCUAAUCAUAUAAACAUGAACAACGUAAACAUUAUUAAGCUUUUGUUCAUCAAAGAUCUAAAAGGAAAAUUUUACAUAAAUUAAAAAAAAAAACUUGGAAGGAUAUAUACAUGCUGGUUCGAAUAGGACAAGCUGAAAUUUUUCAAAAAACUUUAUUUAUUUAAACCCUUAACCUACUGGUCUUGAAUCCGAUAGGACCCAAUUCUUUUACAAAGGUUUAAUUGUGUUACGAAGUUCAUCCACAAAAAAAAAAAAAAAUCAUAAACCCUUGACCAAACUUGGACAUUCAAUGAACUGCGAAAAAAAAAAAUGAUCAACAACACUGAACACAGAGCAUCAUCUCCCAAUCGAUUCAAAUGGAUAGAAAACAAAUUAACGAGAAAGAAAGUAUCAAAUCCAAGGAUAAUUUUUCGUAUGUUCACAUAUUGUAUAAGAGCGUUUGAUAUUAAUGUCUUGUAAAUUUUAAAUUAUAGCUACUAUAGAAAAAGAGCAGUAUUUAUGAAAUAAACAUUAAUAGUAACUAAAUAUGGCUUUUAAUAAUAAUUUUGACAAAAAUUAAUAAAAACCUUACAGGUUUUUCAUCUUACAAGUGAUAAAUCAAAACAACUUAACUUUCAAGUUAUAGCAAUUAAUAUUUAUUAAAUAUUUUAGUGCUGCCCAACCUCGAUAAUAAAUAGGGCCUUAGUGAGUGAUCGUCCAAUAAUAUAAGAACAUUGAAGCUUAAUAUUUCAGGCGCAUUAGUUCUUAAGAAAUAUAUAAAAUCUAUAUAAGAUUUUUAAGAUUAAUGGAUCGAAAAUAUAUUUACUCCACGAUUUAAUGAUGAUCGCAAGUAUUGGUGUAAGAAAUACAUAUAUAGUCUAUCAUGGCUCCGAAUAAACUUCCUGAAUAAUUUUAUUUUGUGAUAAUUUGAUUUUUUAAAUUAUAAAACAGCUUUUUUUUUUUUUUGUUUAUUAAAAUUUUGAUGCAGCCCUCUCAUAAUGCUCGAGCUCACACAAGCUAGAAAAAUGAUUUCGCAUAAUGUAGUGUAUUUUUAAUUAUUUAAUUUUAAAGUUUUUUUCUUUUUUAAAAUUUUAAAAAGCUCAUUUAUUAAAUAUUACCGUCUAAAAAAUUAACCGCAACCGCGCAACCUUAUCAUGAUACUUCUUAUUAAUUACUUACUACAAAAGCAACGCAAGUAUGGCAACUGUAUUGUUAUGAUUAUUUCAUAACAAUAAUCUGAUAUGGCCUUAGCUCUUCACUUUAUCACCGUGCGCGCAAUUCAAUUAUUUUUCGCUCAAGCUCAAGUGAGGUUAAAAAAUGAUUUUGAAUAUCUUUUAACAUUUUACCACAACCUUAUCAUAAUAUUUUUGAAUUAACUAUAUACUUUAAAAAGGAGCAAAUAUAGGGUAACUGUGUUGUUAUAAUUACUUUUAGAAACAGUCACGCAGUCAAGCUCGAGUGAGCUUGAAAAUGAUUUGGAAUAAUUUUUGAAAUAGUUCAAAAGAGUAAUUUUAUUACCGUUAUUAUUUGAUUGUAGUUAAUUAUCAAAAGAGUGCUUUAAAUAACAUUCAAAAUAUAAUUUUUAUCUCAACCAUCUCAUAAUCCUUUCAUUGCCAUUUCUGUUUUAAACCACACGGACUAAAGCUCAAAUGAGUAUGAGCUUGAAAAAAAAGGUUUUCAGAAUAAUAAAAAAUAAAAGAAUUAGUUAUUACCACCAAUUUUUAGAUGUUAAAUUAAAAUAAACAUCAUGGUAAUUGGAAAAGCAGUUAUGAACUAAAUAAAAAUUUUGUAUCAAAUAUAGGCAAAUUUAUUUUACAUAAAAGUUAAAAGUAUGUGGUAAACAUACAUACAUUCAUAUAUAUAUAUAGAUAUAUAGACACACACACACACACACACAUAUAUAUAUUUGGGCCUCUAAAGGGUGAUUUCAAAAUUUUGAACCAAAUUUUUACGCUAAUGUAAGUAGUUAUGAAACUAGAUUAUACAAAAAAGAGAGUCAACUUCAAACCCCAAAAUAAUUUCUAAGGAAUUUUAGGUCUUUUUUCUUAAAAAAAAAAAAAAAACCUGAGAAAAUAUGAGAAACUUUUCGGAAUGAUAUGAAAGUAUUAGAGAAAGAGGGUUUUGGUGGAAGAAAACCAAACUGAUUUUUAAAGAAAACCUUAUUUUUUUUCGAAAUCAUUUUGUACCUAAAAUCGAAAGUUAUACACACUAUUUUGGGUCUCCAAAGGUGAAAUCAAAAUCCCAAGUUGAUUUUUUGCCUGAAUGUAAAUAUUUUUGAAAUUAGAGUAUAUGAAAGAAUGUGAGAGCCGCGAAAUAAUUUCUACCCAAUUUUAGAUUUUUUAUAUGAAAAAUUGAAGAAAUCCCAAAAAAUUGGCUAAACUUUCCUUCUAUUAUUUCUUCUUAUGUGGUAUGACCUCAUCUUUUUAAGGAGGUCUUUCUCAUAGGACAGAGAUAAGUUAUGCAAUUAUGACUUAUUCAAGAGUCCUUUUUUUUUUUUCGUAGAGAAUCCUUGUAUAUUCUAUGAGAAUAGUUGCUUGAGAUGCUGUGAAACUCAUUAGGAAGCACCUUUAUGGUCUAAAGAUGGUUUUGUUGGAAGAAAACUAAUUGGUUUACGAAGAAAAAUAACUUUUCUUCUCAUCCCCAGUUUGGGCCAAAAACCAAGGCAAUAGCAAAUGGUCUUGCGCCUCUAAAGGGUGAUUUUUGAACUCGGAGCGGAUUUUUUUAAUGCAUAUAAAUAUUGUUGAAACUAGGGCAUAGAAAAAAAAAAAAAAAAAAAAAAAAGGGAGUCGAUAUCAUGCCCCAAAAUAAUUUGCACGGAGUUUUCGGUCUUUUUUCAAAAAUUAAAGAAAAUCUCAAAAAAAAUUAGGAGAACUUGUCAUAAUUAUGUGAAAUUCUUUUAGGUCAUCUCUAAUGCAUAACACCAUUUUGGUGUAACACCAACACCAAAAAUAUACUUUUUUCACACCAAAUUACUAUUUCAUCUUCAACCCAUUUACACCAUCCACGCGCGACGCAGCAGAUCCAGCAACCCAGCAGCAGUCCAGCACCAAACAGGCGACGCAACAGCGACCCACACCCACCAGCACCACCAGCGCGAUGUAGCUACAGCCAAUCGAACGCACGCGAUGCGGCAGCAGCAAUCUCAGCUCCAACGCGACCCAAAACCAGCAGCACCAGCAACGCACGCGAACCAACUGCAAACCAUCACCAACUCCAUCCCAAGUAACCUUUGAUUUUUUUAAUUAUUUUAGAAAUUUUGAGAUUACUGAAGCCAUUGUUGAUGUUGUAAUGGAGAGUAGAUUUGUGGAAGAAUCGAGAGAGAGAGAGUAAAGAAGAAGAAGAAGGAUGUUUCAUUGUUGUCAUAGCAAGUGGAUAACGAAGAAGAAGCAUUGUAUUUCAGUUUCAACCACAAAUUCUUUUAAAAAUUAUUAAAGGGUAUUUAACAUUUACCUAGUUUAUCGUAUUUUAUCUCUUGUAAUUUGCAUAUUUUUAUUUGAUCGACACUUUCUCUAAUUUGUCAUCAAAAUUAAGCAAAAUUUUCACUUAUAUAUACAUUAUUAUUUUUCUAUGAGAUUUGGUGGAUAAUUGAUACGCUGUAGGAACAAUCAAUCAAAAAGAAAUAAAAAUAAAAUUUUAUUAAAUUAUUAAAAGUCCAAGCCCUGUCCAGGCUCAGCCUAGGCCCGCGCAAGCCUGGCCCCGGCCCAACCAUCUCAAGUUUGGACAGGCUUUAGAGGGCUUGGGCUUCUUGCCAAUUACACGAGCUUGGACUUGGGCUUGAAAAAGCUUGGUCUAAGCCCGCGAUUUGCCAACCCUACAUAAAAGUAUCUAACAAUGGUAGGAGAUUUUAGAAAGUGACUAAUAUUUUGGACCUAUCAUUUGGGGAGAAGUGUAUAACUCUUGAUCAAACUAGAAAUCUCAUAAUAGAAGAAAUCUUGUACCUCCGAAAAGAAAGGAGAAAUCGUUUUGAUUCGAGGUGAAUCCUGAUCAACUUUGCCUUUACAAGUUGAGUAAAUAUUAAAAAUUUUGAAAAAAGCUUUGUUGUUAUUUAAGAUUAUACCAGUAUAAUGAGCCCGUUCACGUUUUUGGGAGACCUUUUUUUAUGUAGUUGUUUGUAGUUUUCUUUUCUUCAUUAAAAUUGGGUUGGCGUGAUAGUGAACCUAUCAAUUGGUAGAGUACAAGACCGAAAAUCAUGCUCUUUGGAGCCCAGAGAUUCCCAUGCUUUCCGUUGGUUAGCAACCAACAAAAAUUUGAGCUUGACGAAGGUGCUAAUAGUUUUCGUAUGGUGGAGAAGUUCUUACAGGUGUGUGUAGUGAUGAAUGAUUACCAUAUGAGUUUUAAAGGUUUCGAGUGAAUAUAUAGAAGAUCACCUGUGAUUGUCCCAUGAUUGAAUGUCUACACAUGUUACCCAUAAAAUCGGUUGGUGAAUUCUUACUUGUGUGAUUAGGGGUUGCGAAGAUUGUGUGAAUAACAAUUCUGGAUGGGAAAAGAACAUUUUGAAAAAAGUGAAUGAAAGUUGACUAAUGUCGUUGGAUAUUUUAUGAAUAUAUAUCAAUGAGGGCAUCCCUUUGCAUUGAGUUAUUUGAACACACUUCAAUAGUUUUAUUCUAAACUUGACAGGGACUGUAAAUUGGACGAUUUUGGUGAGCCUAAUAAGUGCCUUAAUUGUUUGGAUUUAGCUUUUGGCAAGGGAGAGGGCUUUUGACUUUUUGUUUGUGUCCUUGUUGAAAUUAUUAAUAAUAUUAGCCUUACCCAAUUCAAACAAUGAGCCAACAAAUGUGGUUUAUAACAGGUAGUAGGGGUGGGCAUUUGGUUCGGUUCAGAGGGCAUUUGGUUCAGUUCAGUCUGAACCGAACCGUAUUAUGGCAAUUUGGUUUGGUUUAGUUUUUUAUUUGAACCGAACCACAUGGUUCAAGAAAAAAUUAAAAUUAAAAUUAAAAAGGUCAUAAUUUAUCUUUUUUUUUUAUUUCUAUUUGUUAGUUAAUACAUGCUAUUAUAUAUGUCAUAGCAUUUGUUAGUUAAUACAUGCUAUUAUAUAUGUCAUAGCAUACACUUUAUUUUAUUGUUGAACUUUAUUAUUUUAAUUUAUUAUUGUUAGAUUUUAUUAUAUUGUUUAUUAUUUAUGGAUUUCUAGAUUAUUUUUUUGGAAUUUAUUAUGUUAAUUUACUAUUGUUAGAUUUUAUUAUGUUGUUUAUUGUUUGUUAAUUUAUAGAUUCAAGAUUAUUUUUGUAUUAAUAGUGUAUUAUUAUAUUAUAUUUUUUAUUGAAUAAUGAAUAUAUAUGAUACAAUCAAACCAAACCGAACUGAACCGAACCAAAUUAAAUAGUGCCCACCCCCAACAGGUAGGAUACAAGCAUUGUCGCAAGCACAAGAAAUCAAUUUAUAACUUGAAAAAAUAAAUUGUCAUAAGCUUAUAAAACCGACAAAAUAGCUGAAAAGUAAAUAGUUCUAAUACAAAGCAUAAAAGCUAAUUUUGAUCCCAUCUCACAGAUGGGGCAUAACUUUGGUACAAAAUUGACUAACAUCAAUAAUUCCUCUAAGCAGUUUGGUUGUUGGAGUCCUGAUCACUAUUUGAUGUCUGUUUCUUUUGCUUUCCUUUUCUCCUCCUUCUUUCUGUACUUAAUCCCAUAGGCGUUGCAGAGAGUGUAAAACUAGAAAAAUUUAUAGGAUUAAAAGUACUAUUUCAAGCUUUAAUUUACAUAUGUGGGCAAGUGGUAUUAUAUGAGUUUAAGGACUAUUUGUUCAUGUUACAAGUUUAAAUUUAAUACGACUGUUCAUAAUUAAUCUUUCUUUAGAAAACAUAUAUGUGUGUGUAUACUCACACAUAAUGAACAAUUCUUGUACAUAUACUAUUACAAAUGAUGUGGCAAAUGACGUCACUUUAUUAAUGAGUGUAAAUAUUGGUGAUAAGGAAAAUAAUUACUAUAUUCUAAUUGGACUCCAUAAUAGUGUCACAUUUUAUUUGCCAUAUAGUUGGAAAACAUGAGAAAAUCUUAGAUGCUCCCUCUCUCUCUCUCUCUCUAUGUAUAUAUAUAGUAGUUCUCUAGUUUGGAAUCUUAAAGUGUGAGAAAAGUUCGAUAAAAUUUUAAAAACUAUGGAGUUUAAGAUGCUUAAAACUUAAAAGACUUAAACCACAUUGUCUAUGCGUUUUUCAGACUUUUUCACACUUUAAAAAUCUGGAUUCGAAAUUUCUCUCUCUCUCUCUCUCUCUCUCUCUCUCUCUCUAUAUAUAUAUAUAUAUAAAAUCUCUUAGAUUCUUUCCGCAAGUGUUGGUUCAGAAAUACACAUGGCAAGAAUCUAACGGAUAAAAGUAUGUGUGUAUAGACACUAGCGAAAGCAUCCAAAAUUUUUCCCCAAAAACAAAAUUUGUACCUUCUUUUAUGCAUGUGGAUGCAUCAAAGAAUUACUGUUUUCAAGUCUACAAAUAGUAAUAAUGACAAUAAUAUGCAACAAUUUACAUAUCUUCGGGCCAAGAUGACCUCUACGGCACAUAGGAGUAUCAUUAGUAUUGCAAUUAUAAUUACUGCAUCUUUUAUAAGGAUACCUAUGCGGCCUUGGAAUGCCUGCUGUCCUUCGAGGUGAAGCUGCCGUUGAUGAGUUAGGACUGCCCAUCUGCUGGUUUCUCGACGCUGGAACGUUGAUGAGUGUGUAACUUUUCAUCGAUGCUUGCGCUGAUGCUGCCGCAGUAGGCUGAAUAUUAUUACUAGGGUUAAUGCUUAAGUUGUUGUAGUGAAGAGGAGAGUUAGGAAGUUGUGAUCCCAUUACAGAAAGAGCCUGCAGGAAAUGUGCUAAAGCCAUAGCCAUUAUUUGGGUGCAUAUAUUGUGCUUGUCUAUGUUGGUUCCUCAAGUUUGAUUGUGGCCACACAAUUUAGUUGGGAUUAAACUUUUGUCCAAUGUUAGUGUUAUUGUUCAUUCCUUCAUUCACCAUUUCAUAGUUGGUUAUUCCCUGUAUAUAAACAAUCAAAAUGUUAGAGAAACUAUUGACUCAUUAAAUAAUAAUAUAUAUGAGAAAAAUUUUCAAUCUGAAAUUAAAGUUGGGAUUAAAGUUCAGGACAGAUUUACGACACCAUAAAUUCGUCGUAGAUCUUAAUUGUAAAUUUUAAUCUUAGAUCUAAUAAGCACUGUGUAUAUAUAUAUAUAUUGGUUUUUUGAUAUGGAAUUUUAAAGUGCCCGAAAACUUUAAAAUCAUAGGGGCUUAAAAUUUAAAGCGUUUAAGUUGCAUGGUUAUGUAUUUUGUCGGACUUUCUUACAUUUUAAAAUUUAGAAUUGGAACAUUUCCUACAUUUAUAAUUUUUAAGCUAUAAAUUACAAACAAUAUUAACCUGCUCUCGUUUAUAAUUUCUCUGUUAUAACUAGCUCGCAUUGUACCAAAAUUUUUGUUUCUCCGUGUUUAUGUUAUUAAUAGAACCAUUAUUAGCUAAUAGGUUCAAGUCUCCGUAAUUACAAAUUAUUCCCAAUAACUAUUAUUGGAUUCCAGUUGUUGUAAUUUAAAAUCAUGAUUUAAAACAAGGCAUAUAUAUAUAUGGAGCAGUCAAUCUAAUCUGUUAACACCAAUUAUGCAGCCAAAAAAUGAUAAUAAAAAAGGAGAAAAAUUCAAGAAAGAUGACAAUUCUAUACAUACCAUCAGUCCAUGUAUAUCCAAGAUUUUACAAGAAGAUUACCAAAAUAAUGGAUCUAAACAGAUUUGAUAAUUACUACUUCGUAAAAAUCAAAUAAAUAAAGAGAUCAUAAUUAGAUGGUGCAACCUAAGAGAUAUAAAUUAUCAAGUAUAUGAAGUGGAGCUUCUUUUCUGCAUAUUGAUUGAUCAAACAUUAAUUAAUCUUCAUUUCUUAACAAAAUUGCAAAAGAAAAAUAUUAUUUCUCUAUUAGUUUUUUGAUUGAUUUAAUCAAGAAAUCAUAAUUUUAAAAAAAUGAAGACUAAUAUUAAAUUGUAUAUCAUUCCUGAAGAUUAUGUUCAGAUUUUCAUUUUCAAAUUCAAUUUAAUAAUAGAUCACAUUAUUUAGGCACAUAAGUAAGGAAUGUCUAACACAAAGAAUUACCUCAUGAGAAUUAAGAUGCUGACUGUCAUUAUCACUAUUAGGUAACCCUAACUUCAAUGUCAGAUCAAUCGUCUUUCCAUCAUCAUUGUUCUGAUCGUAGCCAUUCAUUUUGGUUGCUGCUUCUUGAUUGAGCCACUGAGAAUCCAUGAUCAAUGAUCAAUUUCUUUGUUUUCCGAGAACAAAAACAACUUGUUACAGUCCCAAAAUGAACAAGCUAGAUAGAGAGAAAGAGAGAGAAAUGAAGUCAAUUAAUCUGUUCAUGCAUGAAACUGCAUAUAUGAAACUGAAGCUCUUAUUGACCAUUGAGAGAGAGAAGACUUGAUACAUAUGCCACCAAUAGAGAUAUACACACGAAAACACACUCUUUUAGUGAUUUAAAAAAAAAAAAGAAAUUAUGCACCAGACUAAAUCGAAACGAAUAAAAGUUAUAUCUAGUUGUGAUUAUUAGUUUAUUAAGUACUAAUUUAUAGAGGAUCUAUUAUAUUUACCAUUUUAUUUAAAAUUGUUUCUUUUAUUUUAAACUCAAAAACUACAAAAAUUAAAAGAGAUUACUGCAUUCGCCAAAGAACGGCUAUGAGCAUUUUUCUCGCUCUCUUAUACGUGACGCUAUCCUAAUUACACUCAUCUCAAAUCUAUUUUGUUAGUUACCUUUGAAAAAUAAUUUGAUUUUUUCAUAAAUAUAUAUUUUUUAAAAUGCAUUUAUAAAAAUUGAAGGAAAAUAUCACCACCCAUAAAUAAAUUGCAAGCAUUAAUUAAUUUAAAAAAUGGGUUUAAUUAGUUUUCUCUUUCAAACAUUAAUUUAUAUCUUUAGUCGUAGUUUUUCUUCUCUCUUCUCUACCUUAUCACCAUCCAUAAUCGGAAAGCUUCGAACUUAAAAAAAAAAAAAUGCAUUGUGCUAUGAAAAUGUUGAUUUGUCCAUGUAUAAUUGGAUUUGUAAAUUGGCUACUUCCGACAAAAAUCUAAGAAACCUGUAAUUUUUUAUCAAGCAAAUAAAUUAAUAGCAACAACAGCGGCUAAUCGAUGCGACAACAACAAUGGCUACUUCCGGCAACAGCAGCCUCUUUAAUUUGAGUUAGUUCGCUGAGUUUAUGUCCGAAUUCUUAAAUGGAUAAUGAAUUUAUUGUUUUAGUACUAAUUGUUGAUGAUUAUAGGUUAGAUCUUGUUGAGCGAUUAGUUUUUUAACAUUAGGCUUGAAUUGGGAAUGAAAAUUGAUAAAAUACUUAUGGAAAUAAGUUUGUUAAAUACGGCAAUACAAAUGUUUGCUAAAAUGCCUCAAAGAAUACAAUUUGUUGUUUAGCCUUAAUUUUGCUAUUAUUUUACUUGAAUGAAUAUCUAAGAAGGUUGCAACUAGUAUUGUCGCUUGAAUAUAGGCAAUGGUAUGGUGUUAUGGGUGAUUAUGAGUGAAAAGUUCUUGUCACGCUAACCUUGUAAGUGAAAACCUUGUUUUUCUCAAACAAAACCUAAAUUAAGAAGAUUCAAUACUUCAUCAUACCUUUCAGAAAACAGUAUCAAGACAAUAAUGUCGAGAACCAUCACCUAUAAACUUCAUCCGUCGGAAAGAUCGCAGAUGAUGUUACACGUACAAACUUUUUUGUUUUUUUAUUUUUUAUUUUUUAAUUUACAAGUGCUACGCUUUCAGCCGGUUAUCCGUUUUUCAAAUGUUAAAUCUUAGUUGUUAGAUACAUUUCUUCACAAUCUAACGACUCAUUCGCUAUGAGAUAAAGGACUGGGGUACCAAACUUAUGACGCAAGAUAGCUGGAUCCACAAAAAAAUUAUAGCAAUUGAAAGAAGAGCAUACGAGUCUUACAAUAUGAAAGAAUUCUCGCCUCAAUUCAAACAAUUAAAUUCAGGAGAAACCACAACCGAUUGUGAGCUCCCCAUUUAUCAUUUACUAAUUGCUAUUAUGAUUCUUUUUUGUCAAAUUCAUCUUCAUGUUUGACAACACCCAUAUCUUCCAUUUGCCAAGUUAGUUCAUCCUAUUUACCAUUGAUCGUGUAAAAUCUCAAGUAAUGUUACACCCGCAUAUUCUGUAAAUCGUUAUAAUGAUUUGAAUUAGUUAGUUUUUUAUUUUUUUAUAAACAUUAUUUUUGCCUUAUUUAAGUUAUUUGGUUAUUUUCAAAUCUUCAAAUUUGAAUUGAUUUGAAAAAGAUUAGAAACUAUCCCUUUUUUAUUUUCCUCAACUACUCAUGUUUUGGUAAAUCAAAACUCACUUUUUUUUUUAAACAAUAAUUAAUGAGGGUCACAUUAUUUGGGACUCAAAUGAUAAGGUCCCUAACAUUACACUUUUCCAAAAUUCAACACAUAUUACUCUCUUCUUUCUCAAUCAAAACUAAGAAAUUUAGUAUUUUCUUGCACUCGAUGGUGACGGCGGCAGAGGGGGAUGCACGAACAACUCUAUAGGUUGUGACAGACUGACAGUGGCAGUAGAGAUGGAGCAAUCGAACCGAGCAAAGCUGCGUGCCAAGGCUAGCGAGUCAGCAACCGAGACGAGAUGAUGCCGGCGGAGGGUGGUGGCUGCUGCUGGCUUCGAGUGUUGGAGGCGCGGCAGCCGCAGCGUUGUUGCUUAUGCUUUUCAAGGGAUUUGGCGAUUAGGGAUUUCAAGGCAGCCGGUGGCGGUGGCACCGUGGCAGCGCGGCUGCUUAUGCUUUUCAGAAGGGAAUGCAAUCUGCUACUUAUGCUUACUGUAUUAGGGAUUUGGAUUUGGGCGAUUUGGGCAAUUGGGUUUUGAUUUUUGUAUUUAAAUUUUUUUUUUUAAUAUACCGGGUCCGGAUUCUGGGUUUUUGGGGCUGAGACCGGAACCGGGACUGGAAAUGUCCGGGUUUGAGAAUUUCGCACCGUAUAUUUUUCUUAUAAAACUCCAUUUCGGAUAAAUUUACAUUUAAAGACAAAAUAACAAUAACACACAUUUAAUUUUUUUUGAACAAAUUACUUACAUUUAUUAUUAAAUUUUUUUUUUUACCUCUCACUUCAAUUUAUCAAACUAAAAUAAGUUGUAGAAAUUUCAAAUAAUAUAUAUAUUUUUUUAUUUUUAAUUAAUUAAAUAUUUUUAUACAUAAAUUUUUUAAAAUUAUAAUUUAAAAUAAGUGCACUUUAAGUUAAUGGUUGACAUUCAAAAAUUCAUCAUUUAUAAAAUUUCAAAAUUUAUGUGUAGGGUGAUGACAAGAUUAUUAAAGAAAAGAAAAAUAACAAAAUCGUACUUUGAAUUUUAAUAAUUAAAAAAAUAAAAACUAGAUGAAAUAUUUUAAAAUAAAAAAGAUAUUUUUUUAAAAUAAAAUAAAAAUAAUUGAAAAGGAGUUUUAUGAGGAGAAUCGAGGGUUGCCGAUAAUCAUCGCCCACAAGGAUUUCCUAUUGAGUAUAGGAAUCCCUUUGUCGCAAUGAAACUAGGAAUAUAUAAAUCAAGUGAGUUUGUGAGACCUUCUUCUCUUAAUUCUUUCAUAAGCAGUUCUCUAAUUUCUCUCUGCGAUUUUUAUUCAUUCAGUACCCUCAAUCGUUCAUCUGAUCUCACCCAAUUCUCUUUCUCAUCGAUCUCUUUUGAUUUUAAUAUUAAUCUAAGAAAUCAGAGCAUUAAGCAUCGAUCCCUUUUGAGUCUAAUUGUCAUGGGUUUAUCAAAAAACAUUGAUUUUGAAAUUACUCUAAGAAAUCAGAGCAUUAAGCGUCGAUCCCUUUUGCGUUCAAUGAUCAUGGGUUUGCCAAGAAACAGUUGGAGCAGGGAAUAUGCUGAAUCCAUGAAAUCCAAGUUGCCAUCGGAUAUAAAAAAGAAGAGAAAAUUUGAAGAAGAGGAGCAUGCGGCUUUUACUUGUUCCAAGAAACCUCCUGCUACAGUUUCUAAAAAUGAAGAGUUCAAGUGUUCUGAUGUCGAUGCUACACGUAACCAAUUUCGUGAGCGUCUUGUAGAGGGAUUGUCUAAAGUUUAUGAAGAGAAUAAUGAAGAGAUGAUGAAGGAGCAAUUAGGAGU